GUAUCCAUGAUGACAACAAGUCUCUAAGGAUGGUGAUCGACUCGUAACUAUUCCAAUCUGAGCUCC
rfam:Mesocricetus auratus contig197545, whole genome shotgun sequence.